AGGGAAGUCACAUGCUAUGUCCGACACCAAACGGACUUCACCAUUCCCCUGCCAUACUGUGUUUCAGAUGAUGAUAUAGCUCAGGAAGAGCUACGAGGCAAGUCACAUGCUAUGUCCGACACCAAACGUGACUUCACCAUUCCCCUGCCAUACUGUGUUUCAGCAAUAAAAAAGAGAGAAAAGCCACACUCCACGCGUCUGGUCUUAUUGAGGCGGCAGCGACGUGGAGCUUGAGACUGUCACAGUUGUGACCCCCGUCACACAUAAACACUUGAGAUACUACAGUAUGCAGAUGCAUAAUGACCAGUGGGUGUGUCAUGACUCUGUCACGUCUGUCUCCGGCAGGUGGCAUUGAAGGGUCGUCCCCUCCAGUUCUGCACCUGGCACGAAUAGUGUAAUGCCAUCU